UACAAGCAAAUUCAGAAUAAUACUUUUAUGUUUUUUUACGCUACCGCUAUAAUUUACGCUGCCGCUAUAAUUUCAAGAUCUUUAUUUCGCGGUUGAAAAAAAGCUUGGCGCUGUUUACUGAUACUUAGUAUCUUGUACUUAGUGCCACCACAGACACUUCUGCUUGGCUUUACAUCUGGGACAAUUUGACAUUUGCCUAUUAGCUGGGCCUUCUUAGAUUAUUUGACUCCUCC